GACAGAGGGUGCAAACGUUGUUCGGAAUUACUGGGCGUAAAGCGCGUGUAGGCGGUCUCGCAAGUCGGAUGUGAAAGCCCAGGGCUCAACCCUGGAAGUGCACUCGAUACUGCGAGGCUAGAGUCCCGGAGAGGAUGGUGGAACUCUCGGUGUAGAGGUGAAAUUCGUAGAUAUCGAGAAGAACACCGGUGGCGAAGGCGGCCAUCUGGACGGUGACUGACGCUGAGACGCGAAGGUCAGGGGAGCAAACGGG
rnacentral:rRNA from 1 species